CAAAUACUCCCUCCGUCCGGAAAUACUUGUCAUCAAAAUGGAUAAAAGGAAAUGUAUCUAGACGUAUUUUAGUUUUAGAUACAUCUCUUUUUAUCCAUUUUUAUGACAAGUAUUUUCGGACGGAGGGAGUAGAAA
rnacentral:pre_miRNA from 1 species